GUGAGGUCGGUUGGAUAAUGAGAGGGGGCUGACUCGGGCCGAGAUCCGAGGUUACUUUUUUGGUAAGAGUCACUAUUGGCCAGUAUUCUGAAGCCGUUGGGGACUCUUAGGGAGCCAGACACCACUGUCAUAAUGAAUCCCCCUCGCCAAGAUCCAAAUAUCAUCAUUCUUGAAGGAUUACAUGGAUUCAUUUGGAAGCUGUUAAGAGAGGAGGAUGGAACAAGCUCGUAUGAGAAUCAGGAGAUUUUGUGCGAAG